GACGCAUAGAGGUGGUCUCUAGUAAAACAAAUUGCCGGAAUCGUUCCUUCAAAUGCAACUUCAUGUUGUAAUCGGCGUCCUUGAACCGAGCCUGCAAUAUUGUAAGAAAACUGUCAUUCUGGUAUGUGCAUUGAUACAUUUUGGAUUUUAAAAUCCGGAACUCACUUACCUAAUUCAGAAUAUUAAAUCCAGAACUUCCCGAUACACCCUUUGCAUGGGCCUUAAAUGCGCUUGCAUGGGGCGUAAAUGCUACAUUUCGGAUUUUAUAAUCCGUAAGUCAAUAACAUUGUCUGGAGUAUAAAAUCCGGAUUGCACCAGUACAGGAAAUUAAAACAGAAAAUCCUGGGCAGAACCUAAAGUAACACAGUUUUUUUAAAAAAUUACCUGAAGAAUAUCCCAUUCUGGCAAUAGAGAGAUGUCUUCUUUUUUUGGAAGCUUCGGGUCAACCUCGUGCUCGAACCUCAACCUCUUCUAGUGGGUGUGAAUUUCAUCCAAACGGAGGGCGGUUCCGUUUUUUAUCUUCAAACCAAUCAUACAUGCACACAGUAAUCCGUAAGUGAUCAAACUCAAACAACCACAUUUUGAUUUAUCCGUACCAAUUUCAAGUGCUUUAUUGUACUCCACUACGAGAUGAUGUAAAGCUUCCCUUGAAAUUCUCCGGAUCAAAUGAGACCACAACAAUUUUCCUUUGAACCUAUGUUCAAGCAUUAUUAUGCUCGUCUGAAAUGAAGCAUGUAUUGUGGUAUGUUGCAACUCUAGCAUGUUAUUAACGGAUUGCCAGUUUGUACUCAAAUUACCCAUACUACUACUCAGGUACUUUUUCAACCGAGCGAGUGCAGAUUCAACUUUGUUUGUUGUAGUAUUCCCCAUAUGAAGGUUUUUGUCAACCCAAAACCUCACAAACUUCUCCUUAACCAGAUCCAAAAUUGUCUUUUCAACAUAUUCCAAAAAUUAGGUAAAUUUUGCGUAUAGAACUUUGAAUCGGGUCCAAUUAUCAAUAUAUGCUUCCUCCGUGUCGGAGUCCACAAUAUCCGUCCAUGCAGCCAUCACAGUCUUCACCACCGAAGCAGGCUUAAUCGCUUGCCCAUUCUUGCCUUUGAGAUCCGUCACUUUGCAAUCCAAUUUACACUUUGCUCUCACAUUUUGUUCAAUGUGAUAUAGAGCACAACAUAUUUGUAGCUUUAGGGAAAACAUUUUCCACAUCAUUGAUUAAAGCAUUGUCCCGGUCAGUGACAACUACUUUGGGAUAGAGAUCUUUGGAGUGCAACAUCUCACGCCACCUCUCAAGCGCCUAAUAAACAUUGUCUUGCCUCUCAGACAUCAUAUAGGCAAAAUCAAUAGAGAAUGUUUUCAUGGUAGAGUUGUUACCAACAAAAUCAAGCAAUGGAAGACGAUACUUGUUUGUCUUUUAUGUUGAAUCCAAGACAAGCACCAUGGAGAACUUGUUAAACAACUUGAUAGAAUCUGGAUGUGCCCAAAAAACAUCACUGACAACCUCAGAAUCAAGAUACUUCCUACAAUGAUAAACGUAACCAUUAUCAACCAAAGACUUCAAGAGAUGUUGCAUGCCAUUCCUUGUAUCCCUAAUGGACCGCCUAUACCUAUAAGAAGCAUUAUAAACGUGUUUGAUAGUAGUUGAAGUGGUACGGUUCAUCUUCUUUAAGUUGGUAAACAUUUGCCUCGGAGGAACGUUUGAAUCCACCAUCUCUUCAAGGUGAACACGUUCAUUUGGGUUUAGAUGACCGACGGUUUUAUGACCUUUCAGCACAUCUGUCAUGUCAUGGUUGUGUUUGCCAUCACCAACUUUGAGGCUCCAUUCACCACCAGCCAACAAGUAACCUCUCAGCCGAAACGGACACUCGCGUUUAACCGAACCAACUAUCUGGCGCCGACUCUUUCUCUUGUACUCGGUGUAUGAACCUCCCCUUUCACAUAUCAAAGUAACAAAUGCGCUUCUUCCAUUGCCACUGUUAUCGGAUUUACCAAUAACAAUGGAAAAACCAAGCUUCCUAGCUUUCUCUCCAACCCACUUCAACAAAUCAUUCCGUGUUGCAAACUUGUGUUUAGUGGUAAAAUGUUCUCGUUGGUUGAUACAAACAGCAACAAUUGGAGGUGGUACAACAGGAGGAAUAGGAGGAGGAGCAUCCUCUGCUUUCGAACCACCUAGAGAAAUUUCAAGUUUUUGUGGUGGUGGUGGGGGAUUCUCAGAUAUGGCAUUACCGUAAUCAUGCACAUCUUCAAGUAAAAUAAGUGGCAACACAUUAGGAGGUUGAAUCUCAUGUGGAUCAACAUUUGGGGCAUCAACCGGAACAACCAUAUCUGAAAACAAUGCAGGCAUAGUCAGAAAAUGAACACAGUUUUUGUACUGGUGCAGUCCUAAUUUCUAACUCCGGAAUGCAUGAAUCUAGUCCAGAUUGCAUAGUCCGGAAAGGUACAGUACAGAUCAUAUGACGUGAUCAAAAGGAAAUCGCCUAAAAAACGAAUGGGGAAAGGUUUAUAUACACAUUACCUUUGCAUUCAACCGAAAAUGAUGAUGUUAACCCCCCUUGAUGGCCAGAUUGCUGCUCCAAACCAUAUUUUCGCCCUAAAUGGUGUGUUUUUGGAGGUGUUGGGAGUGUUUGUGAUAAAGGUGGUCUGCUUCAGCUAGGUUCUAGAGAACUAUAUAUAACCUAGCUGUCCGGAUUUUAUUUUCCGGAAAAAAAAAAACGACUACUUUUCCCGCUCAAUUUAAAUGUGCGGAAUUUCUAUUCCGGAAAGUAACCAUUGUGUCCGGAUUAUGUUUUCCGAAUAGCCUUUCACCCUCACCAAGCCCAAGUAUCACAUGAAUCAGGGUAAUUUGCUAGCCAUUUUGGAUUAUAGGAUCCGAUUUUUGUCCGGAUUAUACAAUCCGGACAAAGGGUAUUUUGGUCAAAAUUACAGGACGCGCGAGAAGGCUGUAGGGUGGGAAAAGAAACACUCUUCAUGUUAUUUUACAUAUGAGGCUGGUUGUUGCACCAAGUGGACUUGUAGUUAAAAUAGGUGCCCGUUUGAUAUCAAAGAUGAAUCAUGAUGCUGCAACUGUAAGAGUAAAAUUUUGGUCGUUUUGUGUUGUAGGGAUUGGACAUGUUACUAUCUAGUUUGUAAUGUGGAGACAAUGUGUAUAAUACUUACUCUCUCCUUCUUUUACUUUUUUACGUUUCUCUCUUUCUAGUGGUCUAAUAGCAAGGACUAUCACAAUAUUGAACACGUGCAUAGAGAGUGCCUCUCACAUUUAUUGAUCAACUAGGACAAUGUCAAAUGGUUUGAUGAUUUGUAUUCAAUGUCGUGUUAGGUUUCCUUAUUCAUGGCCACCAAAAAAGGGUUUAGGACUUGAGAGGGUGUCGUAGCAAUUUUUGGUGGAGAAAUUAUAUUUGUACAUCUAUUUUGGUACAAUUUUUGUACAACUUUCUCACAUAUGCUCACAUUAUAUUUUUAUUCUCUCUCUUUCUUUAUCUCUCUCUAUUGUUUUUGACCAAUAAAAAGAGAGAACAAAACAAAGUUGUCUCAAAGGUUGUACCAAAAUGAUUGUUAAAAUAUUACUACUCAUAUAUAAGUGGACGAGAAAGUAGUUUAUCAUAUCCCUCCCAAAAUUUACAUUCGGUUUUUGUGAGGCACUUUUUUAUAUAAAAAAAAUAAAAUAAAAAAUAAAAAAAUAAAAAAUAAAGUAUAGGUUAAGUACCAUGAUGGAGCUUAAUAUAAAUUGUGUAUAUUUUUCAAACUUUUGUAUUUACCAUGUCUUGUAUUAAGUAACGGCUUAAAAGAGCAUCGCAUGAUUUACGACCCGUAAACAUAUGUAUCUUUUAGUAAUACACAUUUUACAUCCAUUAACUCGUGUUAAAUAGCAAAUCUAAUGGUUGCAACUCAUUGACAGCUUUGUAAUUUUUAUCCUCGUGGUAAAUAGUAUUGCCCUAAGUAAAGAAACAAUGGAAAAUGUUAUUUUUCUAGAAAAAUAGUAUCAAGAAUUUUUCAAGAUAUAGUUGGCAAGUUUUAAUUGUAUGAUUUAUUUUUUUAUUUUUUAUUUUUCAGCCACAUCUCGUUGAAUUGUGGCAAAUAAUGCAUUGUGAUUGACUGCUCUUUAUAUUCUUGAUGUUAUUUUUCUAGAGAGACAAAAUUUCUAUACUAUUUAUCAUAAAUUUAACUUUCAACCGUGUAGUAGAAAUAUUUUGAUUAUAAUUUGCUUUGUCUAUAUUUAUUUAUUUAUUGUUUUAUGUUGUAAGCACCAAUAAUUAUUGUUGUAUUCCAUUUUCAAAUAAGUCCUUGUAAUUUAAAAAUAUUUAUUUCUUUCAAAGUAUUUAUUUCAAUUUUUAUGAAUAAUUUGUUAACUAUUUAUCAAGUUAUACACUAUAAAAACUCAUGAAUUUUGAAUUUAUAAUAAUAGUUUGAAAGGCAACAUAAUCAAAUUAAUUUUUUGUUACUAUUAAUCUACUAGUUGCCAACAUAUAUUCAAAUAAACACACGUGGAAAAUAAGGUGGUUCGAGUACACAUAAAUUAUCCUCAAGAACAAGUCACUAGACUGUAAAAACGAUAAUAGAUAUAUAAAUCUAACACAAGUGAACGGUAAUUUGAUCAAAUAAAUAUUUAAAAAUUAUUAUAGCGAUUCUACUCAACACUUUUACAUUUAAAAAUACCGAUUGAAAAGUCAAUUUAAAUCUUUUUAUUGAAACUUCAAUAAAAAUAUAAGGAUUUACAGUAAAUAAAAAACGGUCCCUUGUAAUUUAAGAGAUUUGAAGUUAAUCUUUUAAGUUCAAAUCUAUUAUUUUGAAAAUAAAAAAUGAAAAAUUAAUUUAUUUUUGUCUUAUUAAAAUGGGUCCUUCUAAAUUAAAAAUCUAUAUUGAUCCUGGCUGCUGGACACUUGGAAGACCAAACAAAUAAUGUAAGGGUAGGUGAUACACAAUAAAAAAAAAAAAUUAAAAUGAGUUCUUAACACGUAUCAUGAUUGUUUGGUGAAAAGGGUCCCAUACAUGUUGUAGACUUUGUAGCAGGUUCAUUUUCUUAAAUCAUAUCAUGUCUUGUUUCCCUUUUCCUUUCAGUUUUCAUUGUUUAAUUUUUUCAAACAACAAAAUUUGACAUUAACAUUUCAUUGAAUCAAGAAUAUUGCAUUUAAAUCUUUUACGAGUAUAUUAAGAAAUAUAAUUCAAUUAUCUAUGACGAGUUAUAAUCUGUAGUAUAUUAUAUAAAAGUGAGAGAAACAUAUAUUUUGAUGAAGUAGUGUGUCACUUUUAUAAGAUUGUUCUUAAAUCAUCUCUAAAAAGAUUUAGUUUGCAAGAUCUGAUUGAAUUCGUGUGAAAAAGAAAAUUUCACAUGUAGACAAAUUAAAUUUUUUCUUUUUUUGCUUUCGCAUUAAUUUUCGACCCACCAAAAAUGGACGACUAAUCUGACUCAUGCAUAAAGGCAUGCGCACUAGUCAAACGUUGUUCUUUCUAAAAAUCGGACCGAUGUUUUCCAAUACGUCUUUGGAAUGAGCUCCUUACCAUUAAAACUCAAACAACUUAUUUAACAAAAGAAGAAAAUGAUAGUCUAAUUAAAGCAUAAUGUAAUUAAAGCAUCUAAAGAUAAUGGAAAAAUGUGCAUAUAAAAAUGUGUUAGUAGCAGUAACUUCUUUUUACGUACCUAGGGAAUCAAACACAAAAAUCCCGUGUCGGCAACAAUUUUUUUUUUUUUUUAAUGUCAGUAAAGUUGUUUGAAUAUUCAAACUAUAAGACAAAUUCUCUAUAGAAUUUUAAAUGAAUUUAAAAGUAAGUCGGCAAAUUGGUCACCAGCAUCCAAAUUGAAGAAUUAAGGAAUAUAUAUAUAUACUAUUAAUAGUAUUACUAUAUGGGUAUAAGCUAAAUGCAAGAAUUAAGGAAUGUAUGUAUGCAUGUAUAUUCGAGCUAGACAGCUUAUCUCAAUGUGUAAGUGAGGUCAAUUAGAGUAGACAACCAAAUCUUGUUUUUUAUUUAGUAUCAUAUAGUACUAAUUGAUUAGUAACAUUAUUUUAAAAGAAAUUGUUUGGUCUACAUAUAAAUCAAUAUAUACUUAUUCUAUGAUGUAGCCACUUUUUUAACUCAAUAUAAUGUAACAACUUGAGCUAUAUAUAUCUUACUUUUGCCCCAUCUUUCAUUAGUAUGCCUCACCAGCAUCUGAAAUCAUAUGAUAUAAAUUACUCUUGCGUACAUGCACCAAAAAGAUGCUUCCAUGAAUUCCUCCAUGAUUUCUGCAGGUUGAUUUGAGCAUAAAAAGUGUGAAAGAAACCUAAUCUACCUACCCCGGUUUCAUAUUAAGUGAUUUAAUAUACAGAAUUUACGUGUUUGUCUUUCCGCUUUUUUUUUAUUGCACUAACGUGUAGAUUAUCAACGAUGUUUUAUAAAAUUUUGUUUGUAAAUUACAAAUGAUAUUAUAUAUAUAUAUAUAUAUAUAUUAAAGUAUAGAUAAAGAUAUCUGUAAACUACAAAUUUAACAAACUCAAACCAUACUUAUCUUUUUUAAUGACAACAAUAAUAUAACAAAUAAAAUAAAAAUUCUUAUCUUUUUUAAUAACACCAACAAUAUAACAACUAAUAUAUUUUGAUCAUAUUUUCUUUUUUGAUAGAUAAGCGGUAUUAAUGUAAAGAAAAAUAGUAACAUAUAAUAUGUUGGAUUUGUAACUAAAUAUUGUUAAAAUGUCAAUUUUCUAUAACUUUUACUAAUAAAAAAACUAAAAAAAAUAUUAAAUAUCAAAAUUGUGUAUUAGCAUGUAUAAAACAACCAACACUACAAGAAAAACUGCAUUUUGCGACUUUUAAAAUGGCUGAUUGCGACUGUUAGAAGGAUCGCAAAUGUACAAUUGCGACUGUUUUCCAACAGUCGCAGAUGUUGGGGUCGCAAGUGUCUUUUGCGACCCUUCAUAGAACAGCCGCACCAACCGCCGCAAAAGCCACUGCGACAGUUGCCAACAGUCGCAAAUGACGAGAUUCACAUGGAUUUCAAGGGACUUGCAACGGAUGCUAACUGUCGCAAAUGUCUAAUUUAAAAUUUAUAAUUUAAUAUGCUGCGACUGUUUGAACAGUCGCAUAUGUAUAAUUUUUUUUUAAAAAAAGUCACAAUCUCAAAAUAUAAUUUAAUAUGCCCUGAUUUAAAAAAAUUUCGACACUAUUUAAUAUGAGAUGGUGGAAGUAGUUUGGUUUAUUUGAGUUCGACACUAUUUUUUGUGGUGGUCGGGGUUUGAAAUCCGAACCUUGCAUAUUUUAUCUAUUGUCCAUACCAACUGAGCUAAGCUCUCUUCAUACUAUGAUUUACCUCUUUUCAACAUUAUUGGUUAUCUUUAAAAAAGAAAAAACAUUAUUGGAUAAAGUGUUGUUUGCUUGGAAGAACAAAUUUUGGUCUGGGAUAUCUUAAAAUUCUAAAAGAAUAUCCACACCCAAAAGCUUGAUUUGAAAGGCAACUAUUUGGCCAAUGUUAGGCUCUGUUUGAUAAAAAUAGCGAAUAAUUGAUAAGCUAGCUUUUAGCUGAUAGCUUAUAACUGAUGACUGAUAGCUGAUAAGCUAACUGAAGUGUUUGGUAAAAAUAGUGGUUCAACUAUCUGAUAAAUGUAAAAUGAUAUAAAGGGUAUUCUUAAUUCAUAAUAAAAAUUAUAUCAAUUAAUAUUUAAGUAUUAGUAAUUUUGUAAACUAAUUUUUCUUUAAAAAAAAAUACUUUAAAUUUAUUAAUUUAAUAUAUCCUAUGUAUUAUAAAUUAAAUUAAAUUUUAUUCCCUAAAAUUUUAUCCUAUAUUUAUUAUCAUUUAAGUGUUUCCACUUUAUAAAGAACAUAACACUUACCUCAAAAAAAAAAAAAAAAAAAAGUUAACACUAAUAGAGUAAUACUAAUGAAGUAACACUAACAGAGAAUAAAGAAAAUAACACUUACCUCAAAAAAAUAAAAAUAAAAAGUAACACUAAUAGAGUAAUAGUAUUUUGUUCCGUAAAAAAAACGAAGGUAUAUAUUUUUUCAAAACAAAAAAAAAGGUCAUAUAAAAAAGUUGCAAUAAAUGGAUAGUAGUAUUUAUUACGUAGCUUAUUAUAAUAAAUUGUAAUCGAAUUUAAAUGAAAUAAUAAGGGUAAAAUUGAAAGAAAAAGUGAGAAGUUAUAAGCUUAAACGCUACUUGAAAUAGCGUCUGAAAAAUAGUUUAUAAGCUCGUAAAAUAAGCUAUAAGCUCGUGGUGAAAAGACAUUACCAAACAGAGCUUUUUUUGCCAAACAAGCUUAUAAGCUAUAAGCUAUGAGCUCAUUUUUGGGUCUUACCAAAUAGACCCUAAACCUAAUUAAUUUUUUUGGUCUUGUUAACGAGUGUCCCCGGGACACUUUUUAAGGAUUCCAAAAAAAUAUAUUAUUUUAUAAAAAAGUUAAAUAUUCCGAUUUCUGAUGCAAUGAUUACACACAUUUUCAUGAUAAAUUACCAUUUAAAGCUCUUAACUAGUGCCUCGGGGCAGUGGUUAACAUUUCCUUUUUUUUUAGUGUAUCAUACAUGUUAGAGUAAAUGGUCACUUUGAUCCUUGACUUUGCAUCUCGUUGUCACAAAGAUCUCUAACUCAGGAUUAAAUAUAAAGUAGUUUAUGAAUAUGCACUUCCGUUAUCAUUUUAGUCUCUGUCUUUAAAUAAUUUUGUUCAUUGAUGUUGUGGCAAAGGUUUUAUGCUAACAAGGGGUACAAUGUGUCACAUGAACUAAAAUGAAAGUAGAAAAUUGUCACUUUGCUCCCUGAACUGAAAAUCAAUAUCCCUGAAAAUUAAUAUCCCUGAACCGGAAAUUAAUAUCCCCAAACUCGUACCAACUAAGUGUUGCUCUUUGUCAAGAACCAAAUCAUCUUCCUCGAUGAAGUUGUUCCGUGGUUGCAGAAGACUCGUUGUUAGGUCCCUAUGAAUACUUACUAUAAGUUAGGUUCUUGACAGCAAACACUUACUGUCACUAAGAUCCCUGAUAGUAAAACUUAUAGACACAAAGUAAGCCUACUAUGAUCCUAAUUUAUAUCAAUUUAUCAAUUUUAUCAAUAUGAAAAAUUGUUUCAAGCUUUUAGAUCUGGUUAUGAAUCACAUUUUCCCAAAUUUUGUAUUUGUAUAUCUUGAAUUCCUUCAUAGUUUCUUCUUUUUAAUCUCGAUGUUAACUUCAAAUUAUACUAUUUCAUUUUAUAAGAAAGAUUAUUAGCUUCAAGAAUACCAAUUCAACCAAACUUCAAUUGAUUAUUUAUAAAUGGGUUUUGUUAGAAGACACCUUUUAUGAAGGUGUCUUUUAGCAAGUUAUUCUAUUAGCAAUUGGUAAAAGACAUCAACUAAUUUUUAUGAGGUGUCUUUUAACAAAGUUAUAACUAAAAAGUGAAAAUCACACCUUAAGGUGUGAGUUGCUAAAAGACACCUUCAUAGAUUGCUUCUAGCAUAACCCUUUACAAAUAUUGUCCUAACAUAUUUAUUUGAGCAUGUGCAUUUUUGCGGUAUGAUUCCUUAACAGAAACUUAAGCCACUUGAUUCGGUAUUUGUUUUUAUAUUAGCUAUUAUAAUAAUCACCGAUAUAACUUCAAACUUGUUGUCACAUUUCAGCUCAUAUUUUGCCUUUGUUGUCACAUUUUUAGGUAUGGUGUGUGUUCAUGGAAUAAGGUAUAGUCAUUGCAUAGAAGCAUGAUAAAUUGUUAUAUGCGUGGAAUAACAACCAUUGUGUGGAAGCAUGAAAAAUAUUGUGUAUCUGUAAGUGUUUACUAUUAGGGACUUUAGUGACGGUAAGUGUUUAUUGUCAAGGACCUAACUGAUAGUAAGUAUACACAGUUAGAGAUCUAACAACAAGUCUCCCGCAACCAUAGAACAACUUCAUCGAAGAAGAUGACCAAGUUCCUCAAGAACAACACUUUGUUGGAACGAGUUUGGAGAUAUUGAUUUUCGGUUCAAGAACCAAAGUGACAAUUUUCUACUUUCACUUUAGUCAGUGUGACACCUCAUAUACCCUUUGUCAGCAUAAGACUUUUGUCACGUCAUCUUUUAAUAAAAUUAUUUAACGUCAGAGACUAAAGUGAUAAUGGAAGUGCACAUUCAGGGAUUACAUCGACCUUUGUGAAUGUGAGGUGUAGAGUUAGGGACCAAAGUGACCAUUUACUCUACAUUUUAUUCUAGACUAAUUUUAAUGUAAAACUUUAAAAAAAAAGUUUAUGGAUUUAAUAAAAUAGCAUUUUUGUGGAGAAAAAAAAUUAGGAUGAACUUUAAUAGAAAUGCCGGUAAUUUAAUUCACCUUUGGACGCUUUCAAGGCCGUAUCUGAGACAAUGCGAGAAGGGCGACCGUUCUCGACCCUAAAAAGUAAAUUUAAAAUUUGGGCCCUAAAACAUAAAAUGAAGGAUUCAUUAAGUAGAAAAAUAUUAGAGAAUGCUUAAAUCAUAUACAUUUUAAUCGAAAAAUGACAUAUUAGAAAAUUGAAUAUCAUAUUUUCUAACGUAAUAAAAUAUAAUUUUCAAAAAAAUUAUUUUCACACUUCAAAAAUUCAAUUUUUUUAUACUAAUUAGGUAGGGCCCAUAUUAUAAGUUCGCCCGUAGACCACCAGAAAUGGCAUUGGACGCUUUAUUCUUUGAUAGAAAACAAGUUAGCAUGUAACAUCAAGUAAUUCAACUGAAGCUAUAUUAAUAAAAUUUGUUAAAAUUCGAAUCAACCGAGAAUGCUUGAUCGGCUCGACCAUUAACUUGAAUAAUGUUUAUAAGCCUUUAUUUACUUUUUAGCGAAGCUUUAGAUUAUAAGUGUUCAUUUACUCUCUGAGUUGAAGAUUAAUGUAUAAUAAUUGAAAAAGAAGCAAGUAAAAAACAGUUCUUAUGACCAUAUGAUAUGAUAAUUUCAUACAAAUAUUGAUUAUAUUAAUUUAAUAAAAAGUAAAUCUUAACUAACUUUACAAUUUUAAUUUUAUUAUAUGAAGUAAAAGUAACAAAAAAAAAAGAUCGUAAUCAAUGAGUCUCUAACUUGUCUAUUUAUUUAUUCUGCAAACUACUAUUUUAUUAAUAGAAAAGGAAAUUAGCCCUACAAAAAACUUGUGAGUUUUUCUACUUGCACCCUAGUUAAUCAUGGUUGCACCCCAAAAUGAUAAGAUUACCCUUUCAUAAAAUUUGAUUUUCAAAAAGCCUAUUCCUUCUUUUUUGGUUACACCCCAAAACCCUUCUUCCAAAACCAUAAUUCUCUAAUCGAUCGAUUGUGUUCUGCGAAGAUUUUCAAAACCAUACUUUCUCACGUCCAUUCAUGAUUUCAAAGAAAAUUCGAAGCAAAUCAGGUUAGCAAGUGUUGUUCUUCAAUCGAUUGUGUUUUUCUUGUUAUGGGUUCUCAGUUCUGAUUUUGUGUUUUCCUUGUUUUGCGAUUCACAGUUCUGCGAUUUUGUAAAAAAUCAGUUUGAGUAGGUUCAUGUAAACUCAGUUUAAGUAGGUUCAUAUAAACUCAGUUUAAGUAGGUUCAUGUAAACUCAGUUUAAGUAGGUUCAUGUUAACUCAGUUUAAGUAGGUUCAUGUAAACUCAGUUUAAGUUUACAUGAACCUACUUAAACUGAAUUUAAGUUAACCUUGCCAAUGUAAAUUAAAACCGUAAUCGUACAGUGCAUCAUUGCAGUUGAAGGAAAAAAAAUUGAAACUAGCAAAUAGAAGAAGAAAUUCACUUACUUAUAUCCAAUUGAGUAUGGAUGAAAAAUAUUUUAAUUCACUCUUUAAUUUUUAUGGAGAUUGAUAUUGAACAUCAAAUUGUUUGAUCGAUCGCUUUGUGGGGUGAAAGAGGGUGAAACUCACUGACAAUGAAUAAAAUUAGGGUUUUAAAAAAAUUUAUAUAAAAGGGCAAUUUUGAUAUUAUAAAAAAAAUUUAAGAAAAUUUGGGUGUAACCAGAAAAACAUGGGAUGUAAAUAGAAAAACUCAAAACUUAUUCGUUUAUUUUUUAUUUUUUUUAUUUAGCUACAUUUUAAUAAUAUCCAUCAUAAUUUUGCCAAAAAAGGGACUCAUGAAAAGGAAAUUUGAGAACAAAAGACAAAUCCAAAUCUCAACAUCCCAAAGUCCACCAACCCCAUAUGGGUCAAGUGGCAACUUAACAGAAGGAUGCGUUAGGUUGUAGGGUCUUUGCCAUGUUUCAAUAAUGUUUGUGAUAAUAUGUGUCCAAAGAUGUUAGGAAAAUCAGAGAAGCGACAAGAUUGCCACAAUUUUAAUUUCAAUAAAUGUUUUGCUAUCGAGUGUUGGUGUAUUUUUUAAAUAUUUAAAAUUAAGAAAAAUAUAUAUAUUUUUUAAAUUAAAUACUUUAAUUUAUAAUGUAUUGAAUAUACGAUUUAAAAAGAACUUCCUUUUUAAACUUCUUUAAAAAAUAUUAUAGAAAUACUCGUUAAUAUUUACCUUUCAAUUUCAAUAAUAGAAAAAGACAUACUAAUAAUGAGGCCACGAAUUCUCACUUGAAUUUAAGCUUUUGAGAUAUGAAUUAAUUUUACAUAUGUAGUAAUGUAUUAUAAUCAUUAAGUUCGAUGGCUAUCUAGGAGGAAACAACAUAUUCACUUUAUAUUUAAAAAAAUGAUAUUUGUACAUUUAUUUUAUAAUAAUUUUUGUGACAACUUUCUCUCUCAUAUUCACGUUAUAUUUUUACUUUAUUUCUUUAUUGUUUUGGUUUUCGUACCAAUACAUACAUUUCUUUGUAAAAAUAUGAUUGUCACAUAGGUUGUAAAAAAAAAAUAGAUGUUCAAAUAACACAACUCUUAUAUUUAAGCUUUUGAGAUAGAGUGAAAAUAAUAUGGAAAAUUAUCUUUAUACAUCUAUGUUCAAUCUACACUAUGAAAGAGAUCGAUAGAAAAAGAAUGGUGUAAUAUGAUAAGAGAUAUAGAGAGAAAAUGAGAUUAAAAUGAGUGUUUGAGAAUUAUAAGUGUACAAAUUUAAGGGAUUUCAAGGACUUCAACAUACUGUAUGUAUAUACUUGAUAUUAUUGCAAUUAUUAUGGUUGAUCAAUGUCAUCAAUAUUACCAACCAAAAUGUUAUCUUAAGUGCUAGCUCUAGUAUCAUGUUAAUAAACUUCCACUACUAGUUCACAUACUGUAUUUUCCAACAUAUGGUGACUUGUGGAAUUAAAUGGACUCGGAUGCUAUUUUAAAUUUAUGUCAAAUCUAACUCAUUUCUUACGAAAUUAAUUUGAAAGAUUAAAGUGAUCUUACAUGUAAACUCAUUUUCAAUGAGACUCUACAAAACUAAACAUGGAGGUGUCAAACUCAAGUAAGACUUGUAGGUGUGAUUAUCAUUUUGUAGAAAUUAAUUCCCAUGCCAGCUAAAAGUCAUUUGAACAUCAUCUCAGGAUAUAAAUUAAUUAUGAAUGGCCUGCCGAUAAUGACUUUGAUUAAUUAUAACACUCAUAGCGACUUAUGUAUCAAAUCAUUCAUUCAAUUCAAUUUAAAAACAUGGAGAAAAUUAUAUUCUUUUAUGGAACAAAAAUAAUGUUUAUGGAGCUAAGAUAGCAUUUCACGAGUUUCCCACAUUCCCUGUCGGGUUUCUAGCAACCACCCUUUUGAUUUGUGACCGCCAAAUUUUGAACAACAAGAAGAUGAAAAUAAUUUGGUCAACAAAAAAAAAAAGAAAUUAAUAAAAAGUUUAUUUGUAAAAAUUAAAUUAUAUAAGCCCGUACACAAAUUAAAAAAAAAAAAAAUAAAAAAAAAAACAAUUCAAUGGCUGAGAGAAGGAGAGAAUGUUUGACAGAUAUUUAUUUAAUUUUUUAUGAUUAUUUUAGUCUCUCAAGAUCAUCCUAUAUUGUAAACAAAAUCAUAUAGUCCUAUCUUCUCAUUUUUAUCAAAAAAUAAAAAAGUUUAAAACUUUCGAUUUGAUAAAAUCAUUUUUGAAGUUCAAAAGUUUUUUAUGUAGUAAAAUUAUAUUUUAAUUAAUAAAACUUUUUUUUUUGAAAGAAAUUAAUAAAACUUAAUUGCUUUAUAAAAUGUGAUAUUAAAAUUUGAAGAGUUCAAUUUUUAUUACUUGUUGUGAAUUAUUUUAUAUAAAAGUUCCACAAUUUUUUUUUUUUAAAAAAACCACAAUUUUUUUUUUUUUUAUAAUGAAGAUUUCCAACUUUUAAUUAAAUGAGAAGUUCCAAUCCCCAUAAGCUUAACUCAGAUAGUAUAGAUAAUGUAUGUUAUAUGCAAGGUUCAAGGUUCAAACCACGACCACCAAAAAAAAAAAAAAACAGAGAAGUUCCACGUAUCUAUUUUACAUUAUCAGUCCUUAAAUAAUACUUUGUUUUAUUAUAUAAUCUUGGAUGGGAUUUAGUUUAGUUGAAGUUCAGUAUUAAUCAUAAGCAUGCAAGGCGGUUCCCGAUAAUUUAGAGGUCCAAUUGUAAUUUUGAUAAUUUUUGUUUAAAAAGAAUUGAUAAAAAAAAAAUCCAUCAUCAUUUAUAAUGAUAAAUAAUUAAGUUGUAGUUAAAUACAUGAGUAUAUGUUCAAACAUGACUUUUACUUACAGACAAUCAAACACUUACAUAUGAGCAAUGAAUACUUGAUGGCAAAAUUGUUGUCUUUCAGACUUUCAUCUCCGAAAAAUGAGAUUUAUUGACUAAUUUUGUCCGUAAGUAAAAGUGUUGUUUUUUAUUUUACUCACCCUGAAAAUUGUACCCCAUCCCUACAAAUAUUUGAGACCUCUGUAAAUUAGAGGUUCGACUUCAUAGAGCUCCUUGCUCUUGUCCAAGAACGAGCAUGUAAGCAUGAAGAGGCAUAUAUGUUUAUUUUAUCAUAUAUAAUUAUAUAUUUAUAAAAAUAAGUUUGUAAAUAGUUGGAGGGUAUCGAGUCAAUAAAGGUUGAAGUCAAUGCUCAUUUUAUAGACAAAACUAUCUCUAUAGGUCAAAACAAAAUGACCUACAACUUAUUUGCAUGAGUUAUGUUCUGUGUUAUUUUCCCUCGUUGAGGUCCCUACAUUUGAUUGACAACUUCCCACUUUAUGUCAUGAUCCGUUGACAAGAACUAUAAUAUGCAUCUUUUCUUAAAAACAUGCUAACUUACUCACGCUAUUUACGAUUAGCGACGCUAUAAAAAGAAAGUAUGAGUUUAACGUCGCAUUGUCAAAUUCUACCGAGCAUUUAUACAAUACGAUGUCUUCCAGACUCACAUGUUAGUUAGUUGACUCGAGAAAAAUUUGAAUAACCUCAUUCGACUGCAAUAACACUCUCGCUUAAUCUUUCACUAAUUGAGGAAACUCAUCAAACUUUUAAUCUCAUAUAAGCAAUUUCGAUUAGCAAAGUAAUAACUUUGGGAUCUUUAAUUUGUGCUCUUAAAAAACUAUUACAUUUUUUAUGAAAGAUAUUAACAUUCUUCAUAAAAGAUAUGUUGUUUAUUAUUCAUGAAUAUUUCGGGUUGGUUCCACAUUCUCACUCUAAAAAUGUACUCCAAAAUUCUACAAAUGUACUCCAAAGUUCUACUCUAGUUGGUAAAUAACAGAAUAUAAUUUAUCACCGACACCGAUACCGCUUGCUUCUCUUUCAUUCAACAUAUUCAACAUCUUGAGAAUUUGACAUAUAUGCAUUGAUUGAGAAACACAAUAAUUUAUUCAAAUGCUCACAGUUAACUGCUGAAUUAUGGAACCGGUUACAAUUAACUACCGGAGGAAAACUUCGGCAGUAAACUACCGAGAAAAACUAAAAACUUCGGCAGUUAACUGCCGAUGACACCUCAAACAUGUUUUUCUUUUGUUGACAAAAACCAUAAAUUGUCAUUAAUAAUAUUUAUUGAUUUCGAAUGUUUCAAUCAUUAUUUUAGUACGUUUCAAACAAUUGCAAUAUUAUAUUUAUGCGUAUAUAUUUUAAUAAGAAUAACAUUAAAUCAGUGUAAAAAUUAAGCAUUUGAAUAUUGUUUUGCACAUUACUUAAAUAAAAAUAAUAAUAAAAAAAUCGUUAAAAUAAUUGUGCACAACGAUUUUUUUAAAGUAUAAUAUGUUGUUAUAUUUUCUACAUUAAAAUAAUUCUGCACAAAUAUUUUUUUUUUAUUUAAGUAAUUUGCAAAACAAUAUUCAAAUGCUUAAUUUUUACGUUUAUUAAAAUAUAUUUUGAGUAAUGCUCUUUAUAUUUUUCAAGACAAAUAUAACAACACCUUUACAUUGGCUUGGUAAGAAAACAGAGGUAAGUUAUGUCACAUCAAAAAAUAUCCUAUACUUGGUGUGUUACUAACCAGACUCACAUGUAUUUAUGUUGGUGGAUUAAACUCAAUUAAAAUAAUUCAAAUUAUUAUAUGUUUUUAGUAAAAUGCCUAUGACCCUAUAUUUAACUUAUUAAAUCGCAAAACAGCUGUUGUAAAAAGUCUAGAAAUACAAUAAUAUAACUUCUCAUAAUUUAUAUUACUAUAUAAUUUGUCGUACAACCCCUGCAAACGCAACAGGCUAAAGACUACACAUCAUCAACAUUUGCAUGUACUAUUGAUUGUACAUGUCAUGGACCAUAGCAGAACAGUGCUGCUUUACAACUGUCAAAAUAUAAAAGCUAAACUCAUAAUUCAUCAUUCAUAAUUCAUAAUAUAAUACAUAAACAAAAGCAAUCCUAUCAUAGAAACAGAAUAUAAUAAAUUAACACUUUUUUGUGAAGACAAAAUGCGGAAACUUUGCUUCCAUUUUUCUCUUUCGUGUAUUAUUAUUUUAUCAAGUGCGCUCUUCUUCCUUUUCCAUCGCUUUCUUUAUUUUUCAAAUAUUCUUCAUUCAUAUAUAGCCUACAAAAAUAUAAAACAUGCAGUUAUUAUUAUUAGUCAGUCAAUGUCACUAAUUAUAUGGUCCCUCACCUAAAUCUAAACGAGAAAAAUAUUUAUUAUUUAUCCGUAAAAAGUUGAUGUAGACCAUACACCACUUUGCUCAUAUUACUAGAAUAGUCAAAUUUUGCCAAAAGCAUGUAAACACAUUUUGAAGGGUUGAAUCAUGAAUAUUGAAUACUCACCGGUUCUCUUAAGUCAUUUAUCUGAUUAUGGAUAUUUUUGUUUAAGUUUCCAAAUGAAAUGAUAAAUUAUUAAUAAUUAGUUUACUCAAUGGCAAUAUGUGUCAAAAAUCAUUUGUUAUUUUCCAAAAUCGUUCACUCAUAAUUAAAUUAUUUUAUUCUUUACACCAUUCCCAUUAAUCCUUACAUGAGACAGAAAAAUUAAAGUAUAUAAGAGUAUUUUUGUCAGUAGAUAGUUAAUGUAUAAUGUGUCUCAUAAAUAAUUGACAGACAAAUAUUAAAAAGAAAUAUUAUAUUAUAUUAUAUUUAAUGAUGGAGGAAUUACACUGCAAUACGAAGGUGACGAAAUAAAUUAUGCGAUAAUAAUAUUGUAGAGGAGAUUAAAUAAAAAAGCUUACAUGCAUAGAGAUAUGGUAAAUCGACCACUAUCUAAGAGUGGUAAGGAGGGGGUGGAGAUGCAUAGAUGUAACUGUGAACUGGUGGUGGAGGAGAGUGAUAAACUGGGUGUGGAGUGUAGGGAGGAUGAACUGGUGGAGAGUGGUAAACUGGUUUUGGAGUGUAAGGAGGGUGAACUGGUGGUGGAGGGGAUGAGUAUUUGUAUGGCUUCUUUGGUGGUGGUGGAGAGUGGUAGUAGGGCUUAGGGCUGACGUGAUGCACUGGUGGAGGAGGAGAGGAAUAUUUGUAUGGCUUCUUUGGUGGUGGUGGGGAAUGGUAGUAAGGUUUAGGGCUUAACAUGCACUGGUGGUGGAGGAGAAGAAUAUUUGUAUGGUUUCUUUGGGGGUGGUGGAGAAUGGUAGUAAGGUUUAGGGUGGACAUAUGGUGGAGGAGGAGAAGAAUACUUGUAAGGUUUCUUUGGUGGUGGUGGUGGUGAACUGUAAUGGUAGGGAGGAGGAGGUGUAUAAACGGUGGGGGUGGAGAGUGGUAGUAGUAUGGUUUCUUAGGUGGUGAGUACACUGGUGGUGGUGGUGAAGAGUAAUGGUAAGGUGGUUUAACUGGAGGGUACACCCCCGGUGGUGGGGAAUGUGGAGGGUACACCUUAGGUGGUGGUGGAGAACUAUAAUGGUAAGGUGGUGAGACUGGUGGAUACACCUCAGGUGGUGGUGAAUGUGGAGGGUAUUUCUUAGGUGGUGGUGGGGAAGAGUAAUGGUAAGGUGGUUUAACUGGUGGGUACACCUUGGGUGGUGGUGAAUGUGGAGGGUACACCUUAGGAGGUGGUGGUGAAGAGUAAUGGUAAGGUGGUGAAACUGGAGGAUACACCUUAGGUGGUGGUGAAUGAGGAGGAUACUUCUUAGGUGGUGGUGGUGAAGAGUAAUGGUAAGGUGGUGAAACUGGAGGGUACACCUUAGGUGGUGGUGAAUGUGGAGGGUACACCUUAGGUGGUGGUGGUGAAGGGUAGUGGUAAGGUGGGGAAACUGGAGGGUAGACCUUAGAAGGUGGAGGAGGUGAAGAAUACAAGUAGCUGUUUGCUGAAAUUUGAGAUGUAUGGAGAGAGACACUAUUAUGGCUAAUAGAAGAGUCAAAGUGGCAGAGGCCAUUGGAGACCUCAUUUUUUUUUUUUU
rnacentral:lncRNA from 1 species